AUGAACGCUGGCGGCGUGCCUAAUACAUGCAAGUCGCGCGAACGGACGAGAAGCUUGCUUCUCUGAUGUUAGCGGCGGACGGGUGAGUAACACGUGGAUAACCUACCUAUAAGACUGGGAUAACUUCGGGAAACCGGAGCUAAUACCGGAUAAUAUUUUGAACCGCAUGGUUCAAAAGUGAAAGACGGUCUUGCUGUCACUUAUAGAUGGAUCCGCGCUGCAUUAGCUAGUUGGUAAGGUAACGGCUUACCAAGGCAACGAUGCAUAGCCGACCUGAGAGGGUGAUCGGCCACACUGGAACUGAGACACGGUCCAGACUCCUACGGGAGGUAGCAGUAGGGAAUCUUCCGCAAUGGGCGAAAGCCUGACGGAGCAACGCCGCGUGAGUGAUGAAGGUCUUCGGAUCGUAAAACUCUGUUAUUAGGGAAGAACAUAUGUGUAAGUAACUGUGCACAUCUUGACGGUACCUAAUCAGAAAGCCACGGCUAACUACGUG
rnacentral:rRNA from 1 species